UUGACCUCGGAUCAGGUAGGGAUACCCGCUGAACUUAAGCAACAU
rnacentral:rRNA from 1 species